rnacentral:lncRNA from 1 species
CUGUUGGCCUAUAAUACAACCUCCCACACAGACCAGUCCUCACGACUAAGUGUCAAAGAAGGUAAGUCUGUUUUCUCAAGCACUUAGAAUUUUCUUCAGUCCCAUACUGUUAAGAUUGGGGUGGAAAAGUUUAGAUCUGCACACCAGUUUCCUUGUUACACUCAGUCUUUUCUGGCAUACAAGACAAGAAACCAAAGCUUUUCUCACUGUGCCACCAAUUGUAAGGCUACAUUGAAGAAAUAUCUUGUAAUGAUAUCAUAAAGAUAAAACUUGAAGUUAUUAUUCCAUAAAAGAAUAUGUGUUGUCCCUGAAAAGAAAUGAAUACUGCCUACUUCAAAGCUGAAAGUUGGGGGUUUUUCUCUUCUGAAGAUAAUGAAAUAAAGAUUUCAAGGAUUUCAGCACAGCCAUCUUUUUAAGGUUCUUUUCCUAACAAAUUUUAGUGGUAUCAAUUCAUGGUUCAAAUGGAGAUUUGAGGAUUUGAUCUAGUCUGGUUUGGUUUGGUUCAGAGAGAAAGAAAACUGUCUCAGCAAAUUAUUUUUGCCAACAAGGAUUUUAGCACACAUCACAAUAGCAUUUCUCAGCAUCUUUAUCAAAUCAUGUCAUGAAGAUUGGUCCUGACACUGCGUUAAAUUUUAACCAAGUGAAUAACUCAUGGAUCCAGGUUAAUGGAGGAAAAAAUGUGAACAAAUGGUUAUUAGAACCUAGAGAAGAAGUGAAAAAAAUCUUUCUGAGAUAAAAGAAAAAUUCCACGGAGGAAGGGUUCUUGAGUGGGAGUUUUCAGAAUGAUAGGAGUAUGGCAGUCAAACUCUCUCUCCUCCCCUAUUUUCUGUUUUUUUAUUAGUUGCUCAUGACAAUACAACGAUCUUGACAUAUCAUACAUUUGAAUCAAUUAACUCACACCUGUCAUCUUAUAGAAUAAAGGCAGGUUUUGGUGUGUGUUGCAUAUUGCGUAGAGCAGAACAAUGUUUCGGAGAUGCACCAGGCUCUUCUGAGGGAAGAGACCCUUUGGUUCAAUAUCCUCAUGGGAUACAGAGAAAACAGAGACCCAAACAGCCCCUGUGUCUUGUCCAAGGCUACAUCUUUGAUCACACAGGACUUGACAUUUGAUGUUAAGAAUCUAUAAUUUAACAAUGACCAGAACAUUUAUUUAAUGCAAGAAAUAUAGAUUAUAAUGAAUCUACUUUUAAACAUUUGUGUUUUUCAAUUGUUCCCUUCUUCUCUCCUACCCCACCGAGGGCCAGUCCUGCUUCUGCUAUUGUAUAUUCUUUCCAAAUCAGAUCUAUUGAAUCGCAUCAUGAAAACUGAAGUUGUAUUGACUCAUUCUGCAUUCUAAGCCAAACUUGACUUGAUGACCUAUUUUAACAUCAGGUUUCAAAUGUCUAUAAGAGAGAACAUCAAUUUUUGAGGCAAAUACAUUUGAGGUCAGGGAAGCUUUGGCUUCCUUUGGGAAAACCACUCUCUCCCCUGAGCCUCAGUUGCCUGUCAAGUGCAGGGGCUGAACUAAGUCAGUAGGAGCCAAGCCUGAUUUGGGAGUUCUUAUUGAGUCUCACUUAUGAAGUUUCAUUUCAUUUGCAGAUUUGGAAGGAAGCAAGAGAGAGACAAAGGAAAGGAAUCAUUGGA